rnacentral:snRNA from 1 species
GGAUGUGAGGGCGAUCUGGUUGCGACAUCUGUCACCCCAUUGAUCGCCAGGGUUGAUUCGGCUGAUCUGGCUGGCUAGGCGGGUGUCCCCCUCCUCCCUCACCGCUCCAUGUGCGUCCCUCCCGCAGCUGCGCGCUCGGUCGAAGAGGACGACCAUCGCCGAUAGAGGAGGACCGGUCUUCGGUCAAGGGUAUACGAGUAGCUGCGCUCCCCUGCUAGAACCUCCAAACAAGCUCUCAAGGUCAAUAUUGCCUUGUGGCAAUAUUUGCCCUCAUCCUGGAGGACCAGGAUGUCAUUUUUGAAGUUUUUUUGCCCAUCCUCUUCUUUCUUUGCUUCUCCACCCUACACCAAAAUGCUCCAUUUUCAAAACCAAGAAAAA